GACGAACGCUGGCGGCGUGCUUAACACAUGCAAGUUGAACGAGAAUUUUUCGAGUGAUUUCUUCGGAAUGAUCAUGAAAAAGGAAAGUAGCGAACGGGUGAGUAACACGUGAGAAACCUGCCUUUCACAAAGGGAUAGCCUCGGGAAACCGGGAUUAAUACUUUAUGAAACCAAACACUCGCAUGAGAGAUUGGUUAAAGAUUUAUCGGUGUUAGAUGGUCUCGCGUCUGAUUAGCUAGUUGGUGGGAUAACAGCCUACCAAGGCAACGAUCAGUAGCCGGAUUGAGAGGUUGAGCGGCCACACUGGAACUGAGACACGGUCCAGACUCCUACGGGAGGCAGCAGUGGGGAAUUUUGCACAAUGGAGGAAACUCUGAUGCAGCGACGCCGCGUGAGUGAUGAAGGUCUUCGGAUUGUAAAACUCUGUCCUUAGUGAAGAUAAUGACAGUAACUAAGAAGCAAGCCCUGGCUAAAUACGUG
rnacentral:rRNA from 1 species